CCGCAGCAGACGCAGCACCGGUACCAGCAGCCCUCCAACGCGAGCACUGGACAAUUACCUGUGUCGCCCUCACGUUUCCGUUAUUGCCUUCACUGCAGAACAAACGAACGCAGCUUGACUGCUCGCGCAUUGCGUGAAGGUGUGUCUGCGUACAUGUCUGUGCCCUCCCCCUCCGCCGCUCCCCCUUUCCUAACCUGCAGAGACGCACCAGAGAGAAAAAGCUGAGCAAGAGGGUGGUGCCGAUAGUGAAGACGGAAGGAAAAGAGACAGAGCCUUGUGCGCGAUGCAGCUGGGCUCGCCUGUUCUGGCUGGUCGACGACGCCGCUACCGCCACACCUCUGCCGGCGCCAUGCUCUCUCCCUGUGCCGCUCACUGCUUCCUGCGCGCUAUCCUGCUCCUCGUUUACCUGUUUAUACUUUGCGCCGCUGCCCAAGGCGGUGCAGCCGCGCAGCGCGUAUCCGCUUCAGCGGGCACCGCGGCUUCGACCAAAGGAACUGCGGGAUACACCGAUCUCCUUUCUCGGGCAAAUGCAUCGGCGGUGCAGCGGUACGUCAACGAUGAGCACUCAUCUUGCCCAGCUCUUCCAUUCUCCUUUUAUGUCGCUGCAGCCAUGGGCAUGUGGUCGCGGAUCGACCGUCUGGCCAGUUGUCCCUCCACUGGGUUCAGCACGGUCCUCGACGACAUUAGGCUCUCGCGCGAGGCUCGCACGUCCGGCGGCACACUGUUAUCGGAACUUUGGCGCCGCGCUCGAGGCAUCCGCGAGGAGAGUCUGUUCUAUGACAACGCAGCAGAGUUCAUAGCGCUCGAGACGGAAAUCAAGCGGUUUGUACGCGCCAACCACACUCUCGGCAUGCACCCACCCCAUUACGGUGACGUCUUGAGCAGCGUUGCCGAUAUUCUUGGCCUCAACGUCACGGCAGACCUCCUGCCUCCGGACGGUGAUGGUCCGCUGCCGAUCAUGGCGGACGGGCCGGGUAUGGAAAGCGUAGACCAAGAAUGCGAGAGCGAUCCUAUCUGCCUGCAGCGUGGCGCCCUCAAUGAGUACCGGAGGCAUGCAAAUCGCACACUUGAAGCGUCGCCGCACCUCAUCGUCAGUGAUGCCACGUUUGCGCAGGCGAUGGCGUACUACCAGAAGAACCUUGUCUCCUCCAUCGUUGUGCGGGCUUACGAUCUCAUGUCCGGCCCUUCGCACUCCUUCGAGCACGAUCUUGCUGGCUUUCUGCGCACCGUCCAGCAAAUGUGGGACGCCGCGACGCGUGAGGUAGAGCGGGAAGAGGGAAACGCAGCAGCUAAAGAUGAGACGGUGGCCUUGAGAGGCGCGAAUAUCACCGAUUCGAGCAAGGGGAGGAGAGCAUUGCCAUCGCUAUCGCAGCCAUUUCUGCCCUUUAUCAAGGUGACCGACUUCACUGGACCGCCGAUGUUGAACCGCGCCCGCUCUAUCUUCUUCCACGACCGCCCUGAACCACCGUUGCGCGGCAGCGGCAGUACGCGCCAGCGACCCCUUCAUCGUGUGCUGCCCGCAGCCAUUGUGUACCACACCAGUCCCAGCUGCGCGAGUUGCGAGGUGUACGAUCGCGCCUUCGACCUGCUUCCCAGUCUUUUCAAGGGCCUGUGCAGUCGCCCACAUGUCAGCAUGGUCAGCUGCAGCCCGCUUACGCUCUUCCUGCGCACCACGCAAAUCGGCGCCUUCGAUCUGGUGCCCUCAAUGGGCAUCUAUGCGCGGCUGGUGUACUCGCGAGAAGCGGUGCUGCGGACAGCCGACGCAAGCGGUUUUUUCUUCUCCGGCGGCAGCGCCGAUCCCGUCGACGAUGAUGAUGCGGCUGACGACGCGCGCUUCUACAGUCUCAAGUCCAAAUACGGGUCACAUCGGCACGGUAUCGAGCGCGAGGUGCUGCCGCGAGACCAGUUCACACCGAAUUACGUUUCUCUCCGUCAAAUAUCCGACGGGACGAGCGUCGAGGAGGCGCUGACGAGCAUGUUCGCCGAACUGGUCGAGCACGGAGUUGUGCAGUUUGCAUUCAUUGGCAAGUCGCAGCUGAACCGCAUUUUGAAGAAAAACCAAGAGGUGCUGGAGAGACUGGAGCAGCGUCGGCGUGAGGAGGAAGGGAACGCAAAAAACGGCACCGGCGCAGGUGCCACGUCAUCGCCGCCGGCGCCAAACCCGGAGGCGGAUCCGGAGUACCAGAAGGUCGUCACAUUCCACGAUUUGGCCGCGGAGCUGGUGUCCUCCUACAUCAAGUCGCACUUCGGCGACGUGAACCCCUCCAUGACUAGCCAGGAAUGGCCUCGCCCCAGUGCGUGGCCCACCGCCUCCUCCUGGUGGUUGCUGUCGUGGCUGAUCAACGCCGUUGCUGCGUUGUGGGAUUGCGUCUGGUUUGAGCUGGAGCGUCCCCUAGUGCCCAUACUUUUUCUGCUUGUGUUCAGCGCUCAACUGUUGUGGAAUCGCGUCGAGCAGGUGACCUACUGGUGAUGCACAACCGCUGCGGCUGAGGAGGAGCAACAGCGAAAGAAGAAAGCGUGCGAGACAGGCGUUGUGCAACACAGAAGAGCAAUCGGAGGUGCGACGGCAAAGGAACGAUUUCCCGGAGAGCGCGCGCGCGAGAAAGAGUGCAGGCAAAGAUGUGCUACGCUGAGCGUCUCUGUCUUCGCCGGCGCGUGUAUGUGGACUUCUUAGUUGUGUUUCCGCCUCUUCCCCCCUCCGUUUUUCUAUUCGCGUCGAAUUCCAUCACCAUGCAGACGCAUGCAUUCAUGUC
rnacentral:misc_RNA from 1 species